AGAGUUUGAUCAUGGCUCAGAACGAACGCUGGCGGCAGGCUUAACACAUGCAAGUCGAACGCGCAUCCUUCGGGGUGUGAGUGGCAGACGGGUGAGUAACGCGUGGGAACCUACCUAUCGGAUCGGAAUAACUCGGGGAAACUCGAGCUAAGACCGGAUACGCCCUUCGGGGGAAUGAUUUAUCGCCGAUAGAUGGGCCCGCGUUGGAUUAGCUAGUUGGUGAGGUAAAGGCUCACCAAGGCUACGAUCCAUAGCUGGUCUAAGAGGAUGAUCAGCCACACUGGGACUGAGACACGGCCCAGACUCCUACGGGAGGCAGCAGUGGGGAAUAUUGGACAAUGGGGGCAACCCUGAUCCAGCCAUGCCGCGUGAGUGAUGAAGGCCUUAGGGUUGUAAAGCUCUUUCGCCCGGGAAGAUAAUGACUGUACCGGGUAAAGAAGCCCCGGCUAACUUCGUGCCAGCCGCCGCGGUAAUAC
rnacentral:rRNA from 1 species